GCGCUGGUGGUCCAGUGGUUAAGACAACUGCCUUCCAAGCAGUUUACCCGGGUUCAAAUCCCGGCCGGCGCA
rnacentral:tRNA from 1 species